CGAACGGGUGAGUAAUGCGUGACCAACCUGCCCCAUGCUCCAGAAUAGCUCUUGGAAACGGGUGGUAAUGCUGGAUGCUCCAACUUGACGCAUGUCUUGUUGGGAAAGUGUUUAGUGGCAUGGGAUGGGGUCGCGUCCUAUCAGCUUGUAGGCGGGGUAAUGGCCCACCUAGGCUUCGACGGGUAGCCGGCCUGAGAGGGCGGACGGCCACAUUGGGACUGAGAUACGGCCCAGACUCCUACGGGAGGCAGCAGUA
rnacentral:rRNA from 1 species